CGGGAUGUAGCGCAGCCUGGUAGCGCACCUGCUUCGGGAGCAGGGGGUCGCAAGUUCAAUUCUUGUCAUCCCGACCA
rnacentral:tRNA from 2 species